rnacentral:tRNA from 1 species
AGUAAUGAAGUAAAAAUUUACAGUUAGUUUCGACCUAACCUUAGGUACAUCUAUAGUAACCCUUACUU